AAAUAUUUGACCUAAACACUUAAACGACACACACAAACACAUAGUCUCAUGUCCUUUCUUCAACACAUAGUCUUAUCUUCUAUGAGAAACACCACAACACAAACCCUAUCAAAUCUUGUGCUGUAGUCUCUCUCUCUCUCUCUCUCUCUCUCUCUCUCUCUCUCUCUCUCUCUCUCUCUCUCUCUCUCUUCCCAGCAAUCCUGGCACAAUAAUCGAUGAUGAUGCAAGCACUCCUCUAAAUCUUAGAUUGGGCGUUGUUUACUCAAAUUCACACACUCCAUCGUCUGAAUCUCUUCUUUCUCCGCCGUCUCUAAUUCUUCAGAUCCGAAACAUUUUGGAUUCUUCCUUCUCUUCAAAGAAUUUCUUCCUUCUCUCGAUUAAUUUGAUAUUGUGUAUGGGUUUUUAAGUAUUGAGUUGAAUUUUGUUUCUGGGUUAGCUGAUUUUGUAGGUUUAUUAUAAGAUCUGUGCAAGAAUGUUUUCUCACUUGGGUUGUGAGAUUAACCAAACGAGAGGAAGAACAAAACCCAUAAAAAGAAUCUCAAAGUUUGCUAGCUGGAGGCAGAUGAAGAUUAUGCUCGGAGAUUUGAAUCUUAAUGAGUGACAAUUUCGUUGUUAAUAAGGAGGCUUAGAACUAUGAUUGCUUAAAAGGACAACAACGAUGGCUUCACUUCGUCGAAUUUUAGAGGAAGAUCUCCAAUUAGAGAUGCAGUCUCUUAAUCCCUUCAAAAAUAUCAUUAACAAAGUAUUUGAUGAAGUAUUAAAAUUUUUUGAUGACCCUAAACGUUGGGCUGAGUCUGCUGGGAAGAAUACAUAACUAUAUGAAGAGAACACAAUCUAAGGAGGAAGCAAAGAAGAUAAUUAUGAAUUAGAUGCUGAGGGGGAUGCUGAGAGCAAGGAAGUAGCUUUAAAGAAGAGAAGAAGCCGAGAAAGAAAAUUAUCAAAACAAGAGAUUAUUGGUGAAAAAACGUGAAAAUGGCAAACAUGUAUCUGGUAGAAAGAGGGCAAAACAUACAUAAAAAUAUUCAACGAA